GGUGUCCCUCCCCACAACAGGGGCUUCAGAUCUGGAUGCUCUUCAAGGUCCCUUCCAACCCAAACCAUUCUUAAAUUUGAUAAUUCUGUAGGUGUUGUCAUAAUAAUAGCAUUCCUUAGUUUUCCAUAAUGCAUUUCUUCAGCUUUUUGCUUCUUCUGUCCCCCUGAAACAGAGUCUGCAUACCUUCCCUUAUACGAGAAGCAUUUCAGGAAGGACCUCUUCUGACAACUGAGAAGAAUGCUGUGCGCUGCAACAGUGCCUUAUCAGCCAAGCCAGGGUGACUUUUUGUCAGGCGUCUACUGUCUCUGCAAGCAGCUUUUCAGUCUGGCUUCCCUGGUUGUCAGCCUGGCAGCCAGAGCUGGGGUGUAGAAGGAUAGUGUGUAGCUGUGCUUCUCUGUCUGACUGUAACAUUCCCAGCCCAGGGUGCAGUGUCUCAUCUCCACUGCACUGAAGCGACUAACAAAAUUAGGAGGGAAGGAAGGAGAAUCUGUCAAAGACAGCGAGCUGGUCCAGGGUGGAAACCUGUGCUGUCUCCUCUCCUGCUUUCCUGAAAGAACAGUACAUUUUCAGCACCAUCCUGCCUAGGGCUGAGGUGCAGUCCUACAAAUGCAGUUUCAGUAUGGCAAGGUACUACACAGCACCUCUCAGCCCACCUCCCUGGUUUGUAAAUAAAAGCAAAGGGUGCCUUCAUUGACAUUUGCCUGUACAUUUGGAACCCCUUUAACAGACGUUGCUGCGUGUACCAUCUGUGCACCCUACGCGCGUGUUGUGUCCCCCGAUGCUCCCUCAUCUGCGUGGCCUGAAGGCAGGCAGCACUGUGCUUGUGUUCAACAGCUCAUGCUGCCUUCUGUGCUCGGUGCUUUGUUGAAUUGCUGCUGUCCUGUCGGGCAAGAUGCCUUCUGUCUUGACUCUCCUGUUAUCAGACUGGAAUGUUACCUGGUAGGGGAGAACAAUGGCCACCUCAUCUGGCUGUUGGGUCUGGUCUUUUGGCUUGCCACUAACACUUCUAAUGGCCCAGAAUUUCUUAUAAACUCUUCUAAGAAAUUAAUCUUGUAAGUUUAUGUUUUCUAAUGGGCCUUUUUUAUUAGGAAAUCUUACUUAUAUACAAACACACAGUAAAAAUGUGAGAAAUAUGUACCUUGCUGAAAGCAUACCGACUGCAACUUAAAAGGCUUUUUCUAAGCCUUUAUUUUAGUUUCCGUAUGCUUUUUAUCUUUUGAACUACAGAGAACAAUUUCCUCUCCUUUGAGGAAGUUCUGUAAUUUAACUUCUCGUUUCCAACGUCCUCCUGUGUCUUUUAUCUCAUGUCUCAGAAUUUUAAGGCAUUUCAUUUGCCACUUUAAGGACAUUGCUUUAGCUGGAAUCUGCUUUUCUCUGUAAAGCCUUAAAAAGUAUUUUAAAGCCUUACAUUUCUUAGAGUGUCUCUUAUAAGGGUUGUAUUUCACAUUUCAACCAAAAGUACUCAGCUUGCUAAAGUCUACAUCUUCCCUGUAACUCUUGGAAUGAAAAGCAUUUGGAGGGUUUCCAGCUUCCAACUUGGUCUUGUUUCUGAGGGCCUUCCCAGCUCCUUCACUCCUCCCGGUAGGUCUGGACCUUCGUCUCUCACCCGUGCUCUCCAGGGAGCUCUUGCUGCGCACCCCAUGCCAUGAUCUCUUUGGAGUCUGAGCAAAAAGGAGAAGAUGAUCUCAGCUGGGGGCUUGUUUUUCACAUUGUCUGAGUUUCUUCUGCUUCUUCCCUGGAACCUCUACCUCCAAAGCAUGGGCAAUUAUAGUGCCAAAUUUUCCAGGUGUAUUUGCUCUAAAAGUAUGGUCGUGUGUUCCUUUGUUACUUCUUGGAAUAGCUCAUCUCGUCCAAAGGUUCUGCUUUCACUGAUACUGCUUAGCUGCAGAUUAAUAAUGAUCUUGUAGUCAUCAUGCUUAUUAAAUACUGAUAUUGUGGUAGCACAUAAAGACUGUAAGUGGGGUCUAAUUGUGCUGAUUUAUUCAGACCAGUUCCAAGACCUUUGGUACUACUAACUCUAAGCUGGAAACCCUCCUACGUGUCCCUGUCCUUCACUGUCAUUUUCCUUGGUCAGCUCAGCUCAUGAAAUGGAUCCCUGAUUCCCUGGUGUGGAAACUGAACAGCCAAAAACUGCAGUGUGCCGACAGCUCCCUGCACUUGUUCUCUCUUCAUCCUUUCUUUGAUUUAUUCUUGAGUUUUCUGAAAGAAGGGGACAGGGCAGCCUGUCUUCUGAAGUCCCUUGCAAAUUUUUACCUUUAUCGGUGUGUCUUUUCUAUGUCUGUUGAUUGUAAAGAUCGUGAGGCAGCACAAGUGAGCAACUGCCUGCUUCCCCCACACACAUAAUGCAAAUUGCUUCUCAGCUCAAACUAUAUAGCUCAGCUGCUGCCUGUGCCUUAUACAUGUUGAAGAAUCUUAAUAUCUUUGCCAUUUUUAAAAAUUUAAUCUCCUUUAAUCCUGGCAGCGCUGUAAAGUUCAAAGAUGUUCUACAUUAUGUGCAGGUAGGAUUAUGGUUUAUUCGUUAGUAGAAGGGAAAGAUUGAUUUUAUUUUAUUUUUUCAUUGCAUUCCUGGUAGUUUUUUCUUUGCUGAAAUCCUGGUCGGUGCUUUUUUUCUCUGCUCAGCCUGACUCUGAAGAAGGUGAAGGUAUAACAUUCAAUACAAAAAGUAAAUGCCACAAGUCCUGUUGAAAGCAGAAAACUAUCAUUACUUUUUCUGUGACAUAUGUGUACUAUUUUGAAUCAAGCUGUGCAAGGUGAUCUGCCUUUACACCAUCCACUCUCCUGUUAGCCACUGUGUUAUCAUCUCCAGUUUUCAUUGUUUUAAUGGGUGCUCUAGAAGAAAGAGAAUUUUGGAUCCAGAGCAAGACAUAAGCUUGUCAAUAUAUAUUCCCUUCUUGCUUUAGGAUUUCCUUAAACUUGUACGGUCCAGUUGUCAACACAAAUCUGUCAUUUUAGGCAGCAAACCACUCUAAGGCAAAGCAAAAGAAAUUCUCAGCUUGAAGUGCCCCCAAACCCUUCUUAUAGCGAUAGGAGCGCUGCAAGAUGUGCUUUGCCUUGUCUCUCUGGGUGAUUGAAAAUGGAGCUUUGUUGACAAGCUACAGACCAAUUGUUUAUUUUAAGAAAGUGGAACAGAAUACAUUGUUGCAUUACAGAGCAAACUCAUCUAGCAGAAGUAAUGAAGGAAAUUCUGAAAUUACAUAGUUAACUUUGGGUUUGUUUUUUUUUUUGGUUGGUUUGGAAUUUUUUUAGGGGGAAGGUGUGGGAGUUUUUUUGGUUUAUUUUUGUAAUAUCUGAAAGUCUUUAUUAGGACUGUGAUGAAGGUAGUAAUCUUUUGUUCAUGUCCUCAUGUUUUGUAAGCACUAGACAGACAAAAGACAAAUGAGCCCUGGUCUUACAGGUCCUUAUAGGACCAAUGACUUGUUUUGCACAAGCACAUUCUCUAUUGUACAGCUAUUUCUGUAUAUCAAAGUGGCUCUUAGGGCUAAAAACCCUUUGCGUCCUAGUCACAGCUCAGUUAAGCCAUGUCUGUAGAUUAUAAUUACUAAGAUCUGACAUGGGAAGAAGAGUUUUCAGAAUUGCAGGGGCUCUGUCUAGAUUAUAAAGUGGAUGUAAACUAUCAGUGUAAGGAGAACACAGAGCAGGAUUGGAUGCUUCAACAUUUGGAAAAGACACAAAUAGGAAGUCUGGUGCAACUCAGCAUGUCCAGAAUUUACACAAUUAGCAUGGUAAGUGAGGAUAUAUGGACAUGAGAAGAGAGAAGGAAGUACAAAAGUACAAAAAUGAGCCUUUCAGCAGUUCAGUCUGGAAAGUUUUCUGGCAUGAUUCAAUGACUGGUAAUUAAUAAGCAAGGAAGAUUCAGAAAACGAAGGGAAAUAUGAAAAAAAUAACAAAAAGAAAAAACAACCAACCCAACAAAAAGCAACAGCAAACAACAGUUAAUGUGUUCAAUAAAUUAUGAAAAAUGAUUGAACACAUUCAAUAAAUUUGCAUUCAUGGCCAUGCAGAAGAGUAUGGGAAUAGACCCAGAUACCUGGGGUGGGGAUUCUCCAUCUAUAGUCAGAAACCUCUGAUGUAACCUGUAAGUGAGUUUGAAGAUGAUUAGAACAUGGAUGAUUAGAACUACAAUUAGAGCAUGGUCACAGUGGUCUCAGCUAUUCUGAGUAUGGCUUUAUGCAGCAUCUGGAAUUAAAGCAUCUGCAGAUUCGUGUGGAGGUUGUGUUUGGGCUGAGAAGGAGUAUUUGUGAUCUGUGUGCUGGAUGCCUGGAAAUAGGUCUGUGAGGGUUGUGGGUGAUCAGAACGUUAUCAAACUUGGUUCCUGGUGUCCUGGUUUUAGCCUGACCCUGCUACGGUGCCCCAUAAAGCCACUGUUGGCACCGAUUCCAGCCCAACAUGGAUGUUUACAAGAAGGAGCAGAGGCCAGUUACCUAAGCUGUAGCCAGAAAUAUGAAAGAGAGGGAUCUCAGACUUACAAGGGAAACUGAGGGAACAUUGUUUUCCUUUCUGAGGAAUUCCUGUUGGUCAGGUAUGAGGUAAGCUUCUAUUCUGGCCAUUAUUAGAUUCAUGCCCUCAAUGCCUUAAUCCUAAGGAUUUUCAUGCCAGCACUGUAAAGUUAAAUAGUUCUGCUUUGUAACUGUGAACAUCAAAACAGGCUAAAAUGCACAGUGCUUCUCUUGCCAAUGGGUUUUAUCCUUGGUGUGCUGCUUGAAGACUGGAUUGAUUGUUUGGUCCUCCUUGUGGCACUGGUGAGACUGCCAGGAGUGAGACAGCCCAUUAGAUUCUGCAGUAUUUAGAUUUUUAUGGUGGAGAGUUUUGACUGACUAGGAGCUGUUAUGAAUAAAUCCAAUUCCAGCUAAAACAAUGAAGUUUUAUAUCUUCCUUCUGAUUCCUGAGCCAUUCAGUUUCCCUUUUACAAGUAUUUUCAAGUAAAGAACAUGUGAAGUUAGAAAUGUAAUGUGAGCCAGAGGGACCCGAGCAGCAGGGGUGAGACAGUCAUGCUACUGUGAACAGAGGAAAGGGAAAGUGUGGCUUCUCACUAUCUCCCAGUCUUUUCUAGCCUGCCACUUUCUUUCCCCUGUGUACAGUAUCUGCCAUCUGUGUGAGUGUAAUUUAGUGCUAAUUAAGAAGUGAGUGGGAGCCAUAAGCUCAUUUCAUUUAGAACCUGGAAAUGGCCUCCUGGGAGCCCGGAGAGGGUACCGGCUGCUUUCUUGCCACAAAAGCUUCUCCACCUCGCAGCCGUUAUUCUAACCACCAAGCUCCAGAUCUCAAAAUUCAAUGCCAACUCAGAUUUACGGCGCAUUAAGCGACUGAAUUAAAUCCUCAGCAUUCACUUGGCGUCAGCCUGACUGAGUAAAGGAUUUCACGGGCUGGGGUGCUCUACAAGGCCAUAAUUUAUAACGUUAUGCAGAAGCUGCUCCUGUGAGUUUCAUUUUGGCUUGCCGCAAUUUCUUUUUAUUAAGGCCCCAGUAGUAUUUGUUGUUUUUCUGUUUGCUUUGAUGUGGGAGUUUUAGAUUAAAUCUAAAUAAAUAAAUGAAGUUUAAAAUUAAAUUAGGUUUCAUUUGCAUGAGUUGGGGAGUGAAGUGCAUCUUUCUUUCACCAUAUAAAACGUAACAGACCCAUUACCCAUCACAGAGCCCUCAGUUGUUCCUGAAAAAAAUGACAUUUCCCUCUGUGUAGAAAAUACUUAAAAGUCCCAAGAAUAGAUUUAUAGGAAUAUUUUAACCUUUUCUUUGAUCCUUGAAAUGUCAUUGUUCUGUAGGCUACAUUGCAAAACGUGACCUUUUAUAGGAACCGUGGGAUGGAUUUGAUCUUUGGAAGACGUUUUAGAGAUAAUGCACUACAGGGUGCAAAGAACUCAUGAAAAAAGAGCUGGAAAUGGUUUUGUCUGCAGAUAUUUGUUUGUGCUGUACCUGGAGGACAAAAGGAUUGUUUAUGAUGAGGCUGAUACUUCAGGGACAACAAUGAAGAAAAUAAGAUAAUACAGCAUCUGGUUUAAUGUGCAACAGUUUUAUUUUCAUUACAUUUCAAAGAAAAAUGUAAGUAGCAGAGGUUGUUCACAGGGAGGAUGCUUGCAAAUUGAUAUGUCUGAAAUGUAACAAUUUUUUAUGAGCAGUAGAUGUUUGCUUUUCUGUGUGCACUCUGACUUCCUGACUGGCAAAACAAAGCUGAGCUGUUCGGAAGGAAAAGAACUGUCAGUUUGCUUCAGAUUCGUGUUUGCCCUGGUAGUCGUCUCCUCCAUGGUGCUGCAGCAUGGCUCUCCUGAGCCCGUACUCUAGUUAACUUAAACCCAUCCAUACCAGAGAUCUUGCCAUGAAAAUAUGUAUUUCAGCAUUUUCACAAAGACUGCAAGAAGCUUGUGAGUGAAGGUAGAUGUGAGUCCAUGGAAUCACACUGUCUGUGUGCUGUCUCUUUGCUUUGCUAGUAACUCUUUCAAACCAGAUCAUUCUGAAAAAUGUCACAGAUAUUAUGACCAAAUACUGUCAGGUUAUACUAAUUCCAUAAUUCUUGCAUGUGCAGAAUUUUCACUGAAACCUAUUGUUGUUGGCAAUAUGAAUUGGCUUUUCCCAAUGGAAAAUGGGGAAAAUAUGGGGGAAACAUCUCCCAUAUUCCCCAGAAUAUGGGAGAUGUUUCUGUCCGACUAGAGCUUGCAGCCUAAGCAAAUCCAGUGAAAAUGCAGUAAUAAAGAAAGUGUGUGAGGGAACAAAGAUCCCAGGUUGGCACUGUAGUUAUUGUUUAUCCAAGUUUGGGAUGAAAUAGAAGGCAAAAGCACCGAAUGAAUUCUGAGGUCAUACCAAAUUAAGAGCUCUUGGCACUGGCUCUUUGGGCUGCUGAAUUACCUGACCCCUACUGGGACUGUGCUGGACCCCUGUCACUUCAGAGCUUGUGAUGGAGGUUUAGUCAAGACUUCACAAACAUCUUAAGAAAUCAAAGUGCUGAAGACUGAAGGGUAGGAAAGAGACACUGGCCUUGAGGAGAUGAAGUUCUACAUGGCAACAACCCUAUCUUGCAGAGACUGAGAACUCUGAUAUGUCACAGACAGGCCUAGGGACCUUUCAGGGAGGCCAUGGAGACCUGAGCAACAUUGUCUUCAGAGACACUGGGCCUGAAAGGAUUUCGUACACACCUAAUGUGCCGGAAAAAAAAAUUAGUGUCUGGGAGUCACUGGCCUUUUUCAGUGUGACAUGUCUAUUGGGAAGUGAUGGCUGGUGACAUUUUGAAUGUAGGAAGUGAAAUGAGAAAAACAAAGAUAGCUCAAUGGCAAGUUGCAUCAAGAAAAUGAUGCACAUGUAUAUUAAAGUAACAGUAUAGAUUCCUCAUAUUGCUCAAAUAAUUGAGCUGUUACUCUGAUGCUUUACACAGAUGACUUUUUACAGGGUUGUCCCUCCACUGGGCAAGCAGGGUUCUGCAUGGAACAGACAUCUGUCUGGUGUGUGUAUGAUGUUUGGUCUCUGUGUGCUGCCAAAAACAAGUUGAAAAAUACAAGUGCAAUGGUAUAUUAAUUUUUCUCUGAUUCUGUGAUAGUAGUGUUGAAGCACUUAAGUGUAACGUAGUUAACCUCAAAAUGCUUUGAACAGCUAAGAAAAACUUCCAGAUGAGCAUGGGAUGUUUGGCUUGUAUUGUAGGAAAAAGGUGAUAAUGUACAAACUCUGUUGUCAAGUGAGUUGUCAGCAAUAUUAAUGUGAUGUGUACCGUAUCUAGCUGCAUCGUUCACUCUGUUAGAGGUCAUGAGAUUAUCAGAAAAUCAUUAUAGCAUGAAUACGUUUUGUGCUUGGUGAUUCAUGCGACACUGUGAGAUCAAAAAGAGGAUUUUGUUGUCUAGGGAAGCAGCCUAAUCUGUGAUAAUCCAAGCAUGUAGUAAAUCAUAAGAAAUCACUGCAUCUAAAAAGUCUCCCCCAACAACCAAAAGCAAACUUGCCCCCAGAUGCAUUUAGGGUUGCCUUCCUCCUAUAUGUCAUUAAACUAUAGCUGUAGGAUAGUGUACUUACCUGUAUUAAAGAGUAGGUGAGAGGUAAAAAAGGCAGGAUCAGAUGCCUUAAGAAAAAAAAAUUCUAGAUGUUUAGUAAAACUAUACUUCUAAGUCAUGAUUUGAAUGCAUGAGACACCAUAUUGCAUUGUGAAUUCAAGCCCUCUGUGCCAGUGCUUAGGAAGCAUCUCCAGCUUAGUUCUCUGAAAUAAUACUCAGCAGUGAAGUGUUGCUGGGUUUGUCCUCUACAUCUUGAUGUGGGAGGAAGCACUGGACAGAAUCCAGAGCAGAAAAUCAGAAUGAAGUUUCAAGUCGAUAUUAAUGCACUUUGUUGUUUUCGUCAUUUCCCCAGAAGACUGCACAAAACAAAUACUUCCCAAGAUCCAUGGAGGCAAUGAAGGUCUAUGACAAAGCUCCUUCAGAAUUACUGUACCUGUUUUUCUCUCAACUGCAUAAUCCAAAUAAUUGCCUUUGUUCUAUAAUCCAGUGAAGUUGAUUCAUCCUAUUUUUAAAUCUCUUUCCAGCUGGCACUCCCAAGGUGAUCUGUGAUACUAGGCAUGCCAUUCCACAGGCACAGUGAAUCUGCCUGGGUCAGUGAUCAGACUUGCCUUCAAAAUGAGAUGCUUUUGAGACUUUUAAGUGUUAUUGUGUGUUUUUCACUCCACCACUAGAGGAGGUUUGGGGUGAAUAUUCCCCAGUGUAUCUUUCUAACUUCUCGAAAUUUGCAUUUUAGGCAUUUUCUGAGCCAAAUACUCCAUCUCAGCCAUCAUGUCUGAUAGUCACUGAUAGACCUGUCCUCAAUCUAACUACAUUUGGAGCCAUUUAUACUUUUGACCUCCAGAGAAAUCCAUGGUCUAAUUCCCCAAUUCAAGUGUGUGUUAUUUUUAAAAAUCCUUUUUCAUUUGUUUUAAACCUACGUCUUGAUCAUUUUACUGGCUGCCUCCUAGUUUGGGUGGUAUAAAAAAUAAUGAGUAAUCAUCUCCUAUUCAAUUUCUGUAUACCAUUCGUGGUUUUAAAGCUUUCUAUCAUAUUCAUGCUCAGUCAUAUCUCUUCCAAUCUUCAGAGAUCUAAACUAUUUAUUUUGUUCUCAUCUUGAAGCUGCUUUGUAACUCUCAACCAACAAUUGCAACAUUAUUUUGUCUAGUUCUAUUAUGUUCUUUUGGUGGAAAAAAAGGUGGGAAAAAAAGGUGCAUAGUAUUGUAGAUGUGAACUCCAUGUUGAUUUAUACAGUAGCAUGCUUAGAACUUCUUCGUUCCUUCUUGGUUAUAGUUCCUUCAUGAGGGCUAUAUCCUUGGUUUAAUUUCACAACAGAAGAAUGUAGAGGGAUGUAUUUGAAAAGCUGUGGUCUAACACAAUCCAGUCGAGUCAGAAGAAGCCACGUUCUCCAGAAUUGCACAUCUGUAGCUCAGAUCAUGAUUUAUUAUUUUCUUUGCUAUGGUAUCCAUCCAUCACCCUUCAUUUCACAUUCUAAUGAUCUUGUUUCUUCAGUGUCAUGAAUUGCUCAUCUAGAAAACUUACUAAUGGAAGAUGUCAGAAAUGUAGGUGGAUUCUGCUUCUCUGUUACUUAGAAAAAUUAACUCCUGGAUGCCUUACAUUUCUGAGCUAUUUGUUUUCACUUUGGAUGCUGUAUUUUCAAGGAGUUAUUGCUUAAUAAUACCAAGGUGCUCUAGUUAUUGCUUAAAAAUAGCAAUAAUAGCAAAAAUAGAAGGCUGAGUGCCUAAAAUUUGUUUUACUGUAUGAACUUAGUGCAACCCCUAUCUCUUCAACCAAGACCACUUUCCUCCUAUUUUAAGACGCAACAAUCAGAGAGUAUGAGUACAGUUAUAUUCCUCAGUUAUUUUGUGACAUGAGCCACAUUGCAUGAACCCACAUAUUAAUUUAGGAGUGAUUUUUGUCAUUCCCAUUGGCAUUUAGUGGUUUUCACUGUGCCUAAGCUUUGCCAGCCCUCCUACCCACAAAAGGUAGUCUUUGAGUUGAAUGUUCAAGGGAGCAUGAGUUUUGAAGACUGAAUUAAAUUGCUAAGUUCAGAAUGUUAUUUGUUUUCAUACUGGAAAUUGCAUCCAUAUCCCAAACCUUUUCUUUCAUCUGUCACUUCACUCCUCCACUCCAAAAUCCACAUCCUAUUAAACCGAUUGAUAAUCUCUUGUGCCAUUGUUCUGAACUUAGGAAAACACGAUCUUGGGAAUAUCUUCUCAAGAAGACAUUGUUGGGAACCUGCUGUAGAAGUGCAGUGGGAAAGAUGUGCUUGGGAGAGAGUGGCUGUGUCCUGGGCAGUUCAAGAACUACACAGUUGCAUCUGUCUUUAAAAACUCCAGCUAACCAAAAAGUGAACUCAGCAAACAAAAAAUAAAGCUUUCCAGAAGCGUAAAAGCAAGGUGCUGUAUCUUGGACAAUUAUUAUUAUUAUCCAGAGUUGUCCUGGAACUCUUGCAGGAAGCUGUGGCCCAGCUCUACUACUCUUGGAAGCCACAAGUUCCUUUUUCUCUUCAGUAUCACCCUUUUGCUGCCAGUGAUUCUGAAGAUGGACAGUCACAAUACAAA